UUUCCCUCUGCAAGAAAAUGCAUCGGGAUUGUGUUGGUCUGUUCGAAGAAUUCCAGAUUUUCUCCAGCACCUCUUGGCUUUGUGUUGAUGUCCGUUGCUUUUGGAAAGGAUUGCAUCCAGUUUUGGACUUGAGGCAGAGAGCUUUUACCCCGAGAAGGACAGAGCAUGGCACGUGCGCAUAAGCAGAACCUGUUCUUCCUUGAAGUCAACUGCAACAAUGCAGGUAACAUUCCCAUUGGCAUCACUCGACUUGGAAGUGCUUAUUCAUCUAAAGAAAUUUAAAGCUUUUUCAGGCAAAAUUCUCAUCUGCCAUACCCAGCUUUCAUAAAGGAAUCAUUGAGAGAAAGGCAACUACUUUUCAGCUCCCGGUUUCUCCCCAGAUGCCCAGCUUUUGGGAAGGGAGUGUUUGAGUGACUGUGACCAGAACUGGAGCGCUGUCUGCUCACAGAAACCCGGACACCGUAGACUGGAGGUUCAGAACCAGUGGCCACAGCAGCGAGCAAAGGAAUUCAUGAUCCAAGCAGCUCAGUCAGGAUCCAACAAAUCAGGACUGAAGCAGAAAUGUAAGUUUUCAGACUGCUCCAACGGCUUUGUCAUUGACCUUCCGGCAAGUCACAGUUCCAAAUCCUAUCUGCAGAAACAGCUCUCACCUCUGGCCUCUUCCCCAGAGUGCCCCUGGCUAUUCCGUUUCACAUCCAGAGUCACUGAGAGGGAAUGAAAACCAUUUUAGUUUUGAGAUGUUACAGCUGGUGGCAGAGAGAGAUUUUUGUUGUAGUUUCAUGCUUGAGUAGAGAAGACAGCGGGGAUGAAGCAGCACCUCACCACCAGAAGGAUUCGUUCUUCAGCAACGUCUGUCCAAAACCAGCUGCUGGAGGGCGCGCUAACUCAGAGAACCGCUUCUGGCUGUGGCUGCUGCUCUGGCACUCAUCUUGGGGGCAACAUGAGGAAUUGCAGUUGACAAUAAGGUGUCUGUGAAGAUGAGGAAUAAGGACCAACGCUGAAAAUAAGGAGAGAAUAUGAAC